CUGUAAGCGAUGCAGACUCGGUGUUUGGACGCCCACGUGCCGUUCUAGUGCCGCAGGGAAGCUGUUAAGUCUGCCGCCUGGGGAGUACGAUCGCAAGAUUGAAACUUAAAGGAAUUGGCGGGGGGAGCACCACAAGGGGUGAAGCUUGCGGUUUAAUUGGAGUCAACGCCGGAAAUCUCACCGGGAGCGACAGCAGUGUGAAGGCCAGAUUAAAGGUCUUGCCAGACGAGCUGAGAGGAGGUGCAUGGCCGUCGCCAGUUUGUGCCGUGAGGUGUCCUGUUAAGUCAGGCAACCAUUGAGACCCGCGUCCUCUGUUGCAACCACCUUUGAAAUGGGCACACUGAGGAGACCCCCACUGAUAAAGUGGAGGAAGGAGCGGGCCCCGGCAGGUCAGUAUGCCCCGAAUCUCCCGGGCCACACGCGAGCUGCAAUGGCAAGUACAAUGGGUUCCGACCUCGAAAGGGGAAGGCAAUCUCGAAAGCUUGCCGUAGUUGGGAUAGAGGGUUGAAACCCACCCUCGUGAACAUGGAAUCCCUAGUAAUUGCGGUCACUUGCGCGCGGUGAAUACGUCCCUGCCCCUUGCACACACCCA
rnacentral:rRNA from 1 species